AGUGAACGCUGGCGGUAGGCCUAACACAUGCAAGUCGAACGGCAGCACAGAGGAGCUUGCUCCUUGGGUGGCGAGUGGCGGGCGGGUGAGGAAUACAUCGGAAUCUACUCUGUCGUGGGGGAUAACGUAGGGAAACUUACGCUAAUACCGCAUACGACCUACGGGUGAAAGCAGGGGAUCUUCGGACCUUGCGCGAUUGAAUGAGCCGAUGUCGGAUUAGCUAGUUGGCGGGGUAAAGGCCCACCAAGGCGACGAUCCGUAGCUGGUCUGAGAGGAUGAUCAGCCAUACUGGAACUGAGACACGGUCCAGACUCCUACGGGAGGCAGCAGUGGGGAAUAUUGGACAAUGGGCGCAAGCCUGAUCCAGCCAUACCGCGUGGGUGAAGAAGGCCUUCGGGUUGUAAAGCCCUUUUGUUGGGAAAGAAAUCCAUCUGGUUAAUACCCGGGUGGGAUGACGGUACCCAAAGAAUAAGCACCGGCUAACUUCGUGCCAGCAGCCGCAGUAACAC
rnacentral:rRNA from 1 species